GGCCGCGGGGAUUCGAUUCAGGCCUAACACAUGCAAGUCGAACGAUGAAGCUGGAGCUUGCUCCGGUGGAUUAGUGGCGAACGGGUGAGUAACACGUGAGCAAUCUGCCCUUGACUCUGGGAUAACUGCGGGAAACUGUAGCUAAUACCGGAUAUCGCGCUUGGAGGCAUCUCUGGGCGCUGAAAGAAUUUCGGUCAAGGAUGAGCUCGCGGCCUAUCAGCUAGUUGGUGAGGUAAUGGCUCACCAAGGCGACGACAGGUAGCCGGCCUGAGAGGGUGACCGGCCACACUGGGACUGAGACACGGCCCAGACUCCUACGGGAGGCAGCAGUGGGGAAUAUUGCACAAUGAGGGAAAGCCUGAUGCAGCAA
rnacentral:rRNA from 1 species